rnacentral:rRNA from 1 species
UACGAAGGGUGCUAGCAUUGUUCGGAAUCACUGGGCGUAAAGCGUGCGUAGGCGGCUUAACAAGUCAGGGGUGAAAUGCCAGGGCUUAACCUUGGAACUGCCUUUGAAACUGUUAAGCUGGAGUGUCGGAGGGGAUAGCGGAAUUUCUAAUGUAGCGGUGAAAUGCGUAGAUAUUAGAAGGAACACCGGUGGCGAAGGCGGCUAUCUGGACGACAACUGACGCUGAGGCACGAAAGCGUGGGGAUCAAACAGG